rnacentral:rRNA from 1 species
GACAGAGGGUGCAAACGUUGUUCGGAAUUACUGGGCGUAAAGCGAGUGUAGGCGGUCUCGUAAGUCGGGUGUGAAAGCCCUGGGCUCAACCCAGGAAGUGCACUCGAAACUGCGAGGCUAGAGUACUGGAGAGGUUGGUGGAAUUCUCGGUGGUAGAGGUGAAAUUCGUAGAUAUCGGAGAGGAACGACCGGUGGCGAAGGCGGCCAACUGGACAGAUACUGACGCUGGAGACUCGAAAGCGUGGGAGCAACAGG